AUAAGUUGUAUUGUAUUUACAUUUCAUAUUCAAUAGUAUAAAUUAGUAUAAGUUGAAUUGUAUUGUAUUAAUAAUAUAGGUUGAAUUAAUAGUAUAGAUUAG